rnacentral:rRNA from 1 species
AGUUUGAUUCAUGGCUCAGGAUGAACGCUGGCGGCGUGCCUAAUACAUGCAAGUCGAGCGAACGGACGAGAAGCUUGCUUCUCUGAUGUUAGCGGCGGACGGGUGAGUAACACGUGGAUAACCUACCUAUAAGACUGGGAUAACUUCGGGAAACCGGAGCUAAUACCGGAUAAUAUUUUGAACCGCAUGGUUCAAAAGUGAAAGACGGUCUUGCUGUCACUUAUAGAUGGAUCCGCGCUGCAUUAGCUAGUUGGUAAGGUAACGGCUUACCAAGGCAACGAUGCAUAGCCGACCUGAGAGGGUGAUCGGCCACACUGGAACUGAGACACGGUCCAGACUCCUACGGGAGGCASCAGUAGGGAAUCUUCCGCAAUGGGCGAAAGCCUGACGGAGCAACGCCGCGUGAGUGAUGAAGGUCUUCGGAUCGUAAAACUCUGUUAUUAGGGAAGAACAUAUGUGUAAGUAACUGUGCACAUCUUGACGGUACCUAAUCAGAAAGCCACGGCUAACUACGUGCCAGCAGCCGCGGUAAUACGUAGGUGGCAAGCGUUAUCCGGAAUUAUUGGGCGUAAAGCGCGCGUAGGCGGUUUUUUAAGUCUGAUGUGAAAGCCCACGGCUCAACCGUGGAGGGUCAUUGGAAACUGGAAAACUUGAGUGCAGAAGAGGAAAGUGGAAUUCCAUGUGUAGCGGUGAAAUGCGCAGAGAUAUGGAGGAACACCAGUGGCGAAGGCGACUUUCUGGUCUGUAACUGACGCUGAUGUGCGAAAGCGUGGGGAUCAAACAGGAUUAGAUACCCUGGUAGUCCACGCCGUAAACGAUGAGUGCUAAGUGUUAGGGGGUUUCCGCCCCUUAGUGCUGCAGCUAACGCAUUAAGCACUCCGCCCUGGGGGAG